CUCCAUCAUCCUUUGUUGCAGAGGAUUCUUCUCCAUUCUCAUUUUACAGGUGAGGAAACAGAGGCAGACUGGAUUAAGUGAUUUAUCCAGGAUCACACAGCUACUCUAUCUAAUCUGUGAUUAUAGGAUCCUUCUAAGGAUGCCAUUGGAAACCAAGAACUGUUGAACCACGAAGGAGAAGGAGCAGGUCAUGCUAUUUCUGCCAUUCCCCAACUCUCUUCCACUUAGCCCUGAAAGGACCUCAGACAUUAAUCAUGGAGCAAUGGAUGAUUGAUAUGGCUGUACCCUGAUUAGAAAAGGGUUCAUUUUACUUGCACAUGGUACAUGGAAUUAGUUAAGGGUUGCACAGGAAAGGGAGCGAUGGACCAUUGUUCACAUUAAAUUAUAA
ensembl:lncRNA